rnacentral:tRNA from 1 species
GCCUGGGUGGCUCAGUCGGUUGAGCGUCCGACUUCGGCUCAGGUCAUGAUCUCACAGUUCAUGGGUUCAAGCCCCGCAUCAGGCU